CGAGUGAAGAGGGAAGAGCUCAAAUUUUGAAUCUGGCGUCUUUGGCGUCCGAAUUGUAAUCUAGAGAAGUGUUUUCCGUGACGGACCGUGCACAAGUCUCCUGGAAUGGAGCGUCAUAGAGGGUGAGAAUCCCGUAUAUGGCAUGGACUGCCGUUGCUCUGUGAUACACUCUCGACGAGUCGAGUUGUUUGGGAAUGCAGCUCUAAAUGGGUGGUAAAUGCCAUCUAAAGCUAAAUAUUGGCGAGAGACCGAUAGCGAACAAGUACCGUGAGGGAAAGAUGAAAAGCACUUUGGAAAGAGAGUGAAACAGUACGUGAAAUUGUUGAAAGGGAAACGCUUGAAGUCAGUCGCGCCGUUCGGGAUUCAGCCUUGCUUCUGCUCGGUUUACUUCCUGUUGGGUGGGUCAACAUCAGUUUUGGUCGGAGGAGAAAGGCUUUGGGAAUGUGGCAGCAUUCGUGCUGUGUUAUAGCCCUUUGUUGUAUACUUCGGCUGGGACUGAGGACCGCAGCACGCCUUUGGCCGGGGUUCGCCCACGUACGUGCUUAGGAUGUUGGCA
rnacentral:rRNA from 1 species